AUGGGACAGCCGCCUCGGCGCCGGGCACCCCCUCCCAAGUCCCACCAGCUCCGGGGCCAAAUCGGGCUCAGAACGCAAACCAGUUUUAACGUUUGCCUUGGCAAACACCUGCUGUGCUCAGACGAAAGCCGAUGUCCUGAAAACCACAGAGAAGUACCGAGCGGCCCGCUCACGAAGCGCUCGGCGCGCGGCACGGCCUCGGCUCAGGACCGGGUCACCGGCCCUCCGCGGGGCGGCCCGGGCUGGGGGUGGGGGUGGGGGCGGGGGCGGGCCCCGGGCGGCCGCGCAGCCUCUGAGGGAGAGAAGGGCCUCCCGUGGCCCAGCUUCGGUGGAGAAAGACCUUCCCCAACGACGGCCACUCACUGCCUGCGAGUCUGGAGAGGGAGCCGCGGACGUCCGGGAAGGCGCCGCGACACACCUCCACACCUCCGGCUGCCCUUCGCGCUCCGCUCCCGCCUUAGUCCUCACUCCUCUUCGGGAAGAGGCCACGUGAGGAGAGGGCGGGAGGAAGGUGGCCCUCGAGGCCGCUCCGCCCCCGGGAGGCCCGAAGCGCUGCCCGGCCGGGGCCCCGCGGCCCCAGCCUCGCUGGCGGCCGCCAAGGCUGUGGGCGCGUCACUACGUACACGUGCCCGCACUCCAGACAGAGGAGGACCGCGUCCGGCCGCCCCGCCUCAGGCCGCCGCCUCAGCGCGCGGAAGUCCCGCCCCCCGGCCCGGACGGCUUCCGGGACCCAGAACCGGCUUCCGGGAGCGCCCUGCGCGGCCGGCGGGGUCGGCUGUGGAGGCCGCGUCCCCGCAGGGACAGUCAAGUCCGCCGUGCCGGCCGGGAGACCGGAGAGGGGCGACCGUCGAGCCCAGCGAGGGGUGCGGCGCGGCCCUGGAAAUAACGCCGCCGUCCUUCCGCCGAAGCCUUUGGAGAAGAUGAGCUAUAGAAUGUGCCACAGCAGAAAGAGAAAGAAAUCAGCAGAAGAGACAACCAAGAGCAUCAUCAAAGCAAUUUUAUUACCUCUUUUACCAGCCUAUAGGACAACCCAAAGGUAAGAACUUAAGUGUUUGUUCUUGAUUCUUCAGAGCAGUUGUCUCCAUGUCACAUGCUUCUCUCUCUAAUGCAGUGAUUCUCAACCAGGGAGCUGUUUUGCCUCCAGGGGACAGUUGGCAAACUAUACAAAUUUUUGGUUGUGACAACUGAAAUGGGGAUGCUAUUGGCAUCUACUGGGUAGAGGCUGGGAUGCUGCUAAACAUCCCAUAAUGCACAGGUCAGCCCCCUACCACCAACAACAAAGAAUUAUCUAUCCAAAAAUUUCAGUACUGCUGAGGUUAUAAACUUUGCUUUAAUUUUUCUGAGUCCAAAGUUCCUGUCAAUGGGUUUUCUUCAUUUACCAUAUAUAUUAAUUUCCUAGGGCUACCAUCACAGAGUACCACAAAUGGAGUGGCUUAGAACAACAGAAAUUUGUUCUCAUUAUUUUAGAGGCCAGAAGUCUAAGUCAAAGUGUCAGCAGGGUCAUGCUCCCACCAAAGGCUCUAGGAGAAGAUACUCCCAUGCCUCUUCUAGUGUCUCAUGACCCCAGGUGUUCUUGGCUUGUACCAGCACAACUCAUCCUCUGCCUCCUUCUUCUUCAAGUGUCUCUCUUUGUUCUCUCCUCUUCUUAGAAGGACCUUAAUAAUUCCAGAUCCUUAAUAAUUACAUUUGCAAAAGGCAAUUUACAAAUAAAAGGACAUUCUGAGGUUCCAUAUAGAAAUGAAUUGGGGUGGGUGCAGAUACUAUUCAACUCAAUAUACCCUAGAAUGGAGUGACCUUUUAGCUGAGAGUAGUGGAGGUUAAUUUAGAAAACAAAAAGCCAUAGGUGCCCACCCUUCUUAAGUAUUCAGACUGCAGCUGCAGGGAAUGAAAAAUAAAGGAGGUAAUGAAGCCCAUGGAUGAUUCAGUUGGUUUAGCUUCUGACUUUGGCUUAAGUCAUGAUCUCGGGGUCCUGGGAUAGAGCCUUAUAUCAGGCUCCCUACUCAGUGGGGAGCCUACUUUUCUCACUCCAUCUACCCACCCCUACUCUCUCGCUCUCUCUCUCUCUCCUCAAAUAGAUAAAUACAAUCUUCUUAAAAUAUAAAGAAAGAAAAAAGAAAAAAAAAGAAAGAAAGAAAAAAAAAGAAAGAAAAAAAAAAAAGAAAGAAAGAAAGAAAGAAAGAAAGAAAGAAAGAAAGAAAGAAGAUAAAUCUGGCAACAUCCUGCUCUCUACUACCAGUGUUAGUUGCCAAAAUAAAUAAAUAAAUAAAUCUGUCCCCUUCUGUGUGUUCCUCCUGCUCAAAGCCUUUUUUUCUCCCCCAAAGAAUAAUAGCAUAGAAAAAUGAACUUCAUAGGAACAUCAGGACCUAUAUGGAGUCUUGGUAUCAAUGGCAGUUAUAAACCAUGGUAACAAAUUCUCUGGCACUCCUCCCAUUGAAAGGUGGAGCUUAUGUUCCUGUCUUAGUCCAUUUGGGCUGCUAUAAAAAAUGCCGUAGACUGGAUGCCUUAUAAGCAAAAGAAAUUUAUUUCUCACAGUUCUGGAGGCUGAUGAUCAAGUCAUCAGCAAAUUUGGUGACUGAUGAUGCUCUGCUUCCUAGUUCACAGAAGACCAUCUUUUCACUGUAUGCUUACACGGCAGAAGAGGUGAGGGAGCUCUCUGGGGUCUUUUUUAUGAGGGCACUAAUCCCACUUGUGAUAGCCCCACCCUCAUAACCUAAUCACCUCCCAAAGGGCCCACCUCUAACUACCCUCACAUUGAGGAUGAGGUUUCAACAUAUGAAUUUGGGGCAAACACAAACAUUCGGUCCAUAGCAGUCCCCUUCCCUUGAAUCUGGGUGAGCUUGUGUCUGCUUUGUCUAAUGGAGUAGGUGAAAAAUUAAACAGUGCAGAUAGUGGAGGCCUGGCCUGGGAGCCAAUCCAGUCCAAAUCUGUGGCACUUGCUCCUUAGUCUCUACACCACCUUGCCUUGAAGCACAGCCUAUCUGGAAUGGUUACUUACACACUCUUCAGGUAAAUUAAAUUUUCUCAAAGUUUGUGCUCAUGAGAAAACUGAAUUAGGGCACCAUUAUAAGGGUCGUAGCAUCUCAGGAAGGAUGAAUCAAAUCAGAACAUCCCUGGACAUGCUUAUCCCCAAGAUAGCACAACCAAUGUUCAUUUGUCUCCCUUGUGUAGAUGUUUUCUUUUAAGCUCACAGCAAAUAUUCUUCUUGACAGUAAGAGACCUUGCAAAGAACAGAGUCCUGUUUUCUAAGUGUAGGCUCUGGGGUUUCUCUUCAGAUCCCUUAAGAUCAGUUUGUCCAAAAGGAAAAUAAAAGUAGCAUGUUUGGGAGAUCCCUAGGUGGCUCAGCGGUUUGGCGCCUGCCUUUGGCCCAGGGCGUGAUCUUGGAGUCCCGGGAUUGAGUCCCACAUCAGGCUCCUGGCAUGGAGCCUGCUUCUUCCUCCUCCUGUGUCUCUGCCUCUCUCUCUCUCUCUAUGUCUAUCAUAAAUAAAUAAAUCUUUUUUUUUAAAAAGUAGCUUGUUUAAUGUGUGACUUGUGAAAUACAAAGUCAAAGAAACAAUUUUAUAUUAAUUUCUUUUUUUUUUUAUUUUUAUUUAUUUAUGAUAGUCACAGAGAGAGAGAGAGGAGAGAGAGAGGCAGAGACACAAGCAGGCUCCAUGCACCGGGAGCCCGAUAUGGGACUCGAUCCCGGGUCUCCAGGAUCGCGCCCCGGGCCAAAGCAGGUACCAAACCGCUGCGCCACCAGGUCCUAUAUUAUUUUUUUUUUUUUAAUUUUUUUUUUAAUUUAUUUAUGAUAGGCACACAGUGAGAGAGAGAGGCAGAGACACAGAGAGGAAAGCAGGCUCCAUGCACCGGGAGCCCGACGUGGGAUCGAUCCCGGUCUCCAGGAUCGCGCCCUGGCAAGGCAGCGCCAAACCGCUGCGCCACCCAGGUCCAGGAUCCCUAUAUUAAUUUCUUUUAAACAACCCUUUAGACUACUAGUUUCUAGUCCAGCACGUAAGGAAGUCAUCACUCCAUCCUUACAUCAACAAUGAGUACAGAGC
rnacentral:lncRNA from 1 species